GACGCAAUCUACAAAAUUACUUGAAACGCUACCUGUGACAGUCUCUCGACUUCAAGACAAGGAUUCCGGUGAAAAAACCUCAUUACCACAAAAACCAAAGAUGAAGACUGCCAUACUUUCCAUCCUCGUUCUGGUUGCCUUCAUCAGCAUGUCAUCAUUUGCUCUUCCGUCGCCGAACCUUGCCUGCCUAGAUAACUGCGACGCUGAUUUCGACCUUUGCAUUCACGCGUGUGACGUCACACCAUUUAACUGUGAUAUUUGCGACACUCAACUGAACAAGUGCAGAAGGACAUGUUAAGGAUACGUUGGGGCACUGAGAAGCCAUUCAGAAGGCCAUCACACCUUCGAGAAGAAUAGAAACAAUUUAGACUUGUACUUAUGCGUAGAGUCUAGUGUAACAUGUGAACAUAUAUCAUGGAAGUAUUUCUAGCGUGUUUUGUUCAUUUGUAAUUGUAGAUUGUGUUGUCCAUGCCACGAAAAAGAUGUUCAUGCAACUGA